CUGGUUGAUCCUGCCAGUAAUCAUAUGCUUGUCUCAAAGACUAAGCCAUGCAUGUCUAAGUCCAAGCUGUGUUCACACGGCGAGACCGCGGACGGCUCAUUAAAUCAGUCGUGGUCCAUAUGGGCCAGUGUUGAUCCUACUUGGAUAACUGUGGUAAUUCCAGAGCUAAUACAUGCAACUCUUAUUCUGAUGUAUGGUCGGUCGGUUCUCUCUCGUAGGGUCCGAUUGUUCUCCGCUGACGAAUGCUUUUAUUAGACCAAACCGCUGGGGAUGUGGGUCUUUCUUCCGAGAGAUUCACGUUUGACCCGACAUAUGGUGACUCUGAAUAACCUUUUGACGAGCGCACGUAUCCCUCUUAUGAGCGGAACGGCGCUGCCACUUUCGAGUGUCUGCCUUAUCAGCUAUCAAUCGUUCGUUAUGCGCGACCGAUGGCUUUGACGGGUAACGGGGAAUCAGAGUUCGAUUCCGGAGAGGCAGCCUGAGAGACGGCUACCACGUCCAAGGACGGCAGCAGGCACGCAAAUUACCCAAUCCCAGUACCUGGGGGAGGUAGUGACGAAAUCUAACGAUGCGGGCGCCCUUUCUGGGGCCCCGCAAUCGGAAUGGGCACUUUCUAAACAACCUGUUGAGAACCUACUGAAGGGCAAGUCUGGUGCCAGCAGCCGCGGUAAUUCCAGCUUCAGCAGCAUCUAUUAAAGUUGCUGCGGUUAAAAGGCUCGCAGUUGAAUGUCAGUAACGGGCGCAGUGAAGGUGGACGCU
rnacentral:rRNA from 1 species